UUGCGUGCCGUGUUGAAUGACAACUAAAAACUGAGGUUAUGUUCCUGUAAAUAUUGUCAAUUGAGUUUGUCAAUAUACGUGCUUAUUUAUUUCUGUGUUUUAGUACAGAAUUAAGUUGACAAGUUGUUACCUGGACAGUAUGGGUAUUAUGACCAUCUGCAGAGAUAAAAUGGACUGUCUGUCCCUUGCCCAUGUAUAAUUUAUCGUUACUGUAACUUAUACAUGCUUCAGACCCUACUCGGACAGAAAUUUCUUCACGAGGACAACUAUCGGUGUCACCACUGUUGGAGUCUGCAACCAUUGAGUCUUCCUCACCAUUUACACGGGCACCAUCUACACCAGAAAUAUAAUUUUCCAAACUAUCUACAUCGUCGACAUGUUCCCAUCCUCGCGAGAGUGACGGAAAAUCCACCAUCCCUUGGCCAUUGACCAGGACAUUAUGCCGAUAACCUCUUGAAUAUGUGGACCACCAGACGUAGUAAUGUGGAGCACGAGGUUCUUGAUAGUCAUUCUGAGCACACUCUACAGCAUUUUCAUGUUGUAUUGGAGUCUGAAUCGUCAGAAUCCGAUUAUGAUGGCUAUUCUGAGCAUACUCUGCAGCAUUUUCAUGUUGCAUCGGAAUAUUAAACACUCCGUCAAACAGUUCUUGGACACAGUUAUCCGGACAGACAACUCGAUCCCCCUCUCCGUCGGAAACAAGACAAACACGUUCUCGACCGGCCGUAAUCGAAGCGGACCCAUCCAGCUCAACCGAAGAAGACGACGAGUCACCGUCACCUUGUGGUGGAUUCCUCGACAAGGCAUCAGCAUUAGAAUUUAUCCUCCCAGGUUUUAGACUAUUACAUAGUCAUACUCACUAAGUUUUAUAUGCCAUCGAGUUAAUCUUGAAAUAGGAUCUUUCAACUCAUGCAACCAUACAAGAGGUCUAUUGUUUGUUACUAAAAAAAAACUUCACCCAUAUAAAUAAGGUCUAAAGUGUUUUACACAAAACACUAUUGCAAGUAACUCUUUUUGAAUUGUUGAAUAGUUGAUUUCAACUUUCUGAAGGAUUCUAGAAGAUAUGCAAUGGGUAAAUCCUGACUAAUAGGUCCCUGACUCAAAACACCACCAAGAGCGUAAUCCGAUGCAUCAGUUGUUAAUACAAAAGGUUUCGAGAAAUCAGGAUACUGCAAUAAGGGUUCCGAACAAAUUGUAUCUCGCAGAAUUUCAAAAGCUGAUUGCUGCUCAUUUUUGCAUUUAAAUUCGACCUUAUCUUUUAAAAGGAGACCAGUAGGCACAUGCUCUGGAGCAACGCAGAAUUUAUAGUAACCCUCUCGUAGAUAAACUUCAAUACAAAUCCAGCCUUCGCUCUAUCAUCAUAGAUACGACAUAGUUGUAGCGGUUCACAAUUCGGAUUCGAAAGGAGUUCAACCAAUGUCAUCAACAAGGGAUUUGGAUCAGUCAUUUCUAAAUAUAGUUUCUUACUAAUAAUGUUUUAAGUGACUAAAAUAGAUUUAAAAGUAAUUUUCACUUUUAUCUUUACACUGUUCCACUAUAAAAAGAGGGAAAAUAAACUCAAUUUAGUCUUCAGUGUUUAUCUGGCACUAGUUAUCACUUUCAAAUUUAAAUGUUCCCUCGGCGCACAGAAUCCCACCGCUGUCGCCAAUUUGUUACGUCUCUGGCGCUGUAGUAGAAUACUAAUUCUACUGUAGUCGGACGCUGAUUCAUUGUUGCCGUUGAAUGAUUAAAAUCAUAAUCGGGAGAACACACAGGGUUUAAAAUCAAAACUCGAUUUAGCUUGUCACUUUAAAGUAUAUUAUUAAAUGCAUUACAGUUAUUAAUGUUUCAUCGUUAUACACUAUGUGCACAUAUAAAUGUAUAUCUACCAAACAAUUUAGUUGGUUGUUACACAAUUUCUGAUUCACAAAUUUAUAAUUUGUUUUAUAAAAGUCGGCAAGAGCCGGUCGCGACUACUCGCUUCGCGUUUAAAUAGUUUUAAUGUUCUACUUUGAAACUUGACUUUAGUGAUGACUUCAUGGGAUUUUCCGAUCGUUUACCCAAUAAUAAAGUAGAUAAUUUUACUCCGCCUAUAGGAAAUGAGUCAUAAUGUGACUCAUUCGAUGAUUGAAAUAUAAACAUUCGUAAGUCCAAAGUCCUUAGUUAUUGCGUUUUACAUUUGUCUUAUUGCGCCUUAAUGUCAUAAUGGAUACUUAAAUAGUACUAUGACUCAUAUUUGGUACUAAGAAUAGCGAUGACCUAACGUUGCAUUUAUUCUAAGUAUAAUUAUUAUCCCGGUAACAAGUGUUGAAUUUAAAAAAAAUUAAGAAUAUGUAUUUCUAUGAAUAUGCGAUUUUUACUCCGUCUUAAAGUUCCCCAGCGGGAAUAAAAAAAGUGCAAAUCCUAUUCCUCUCAAUCAACUUAGUAAAAUUUAACGAAAGCAUUUAUUUAACCGAUUUUUU